GGGCGCUUGGUCUAGGGGUAUGAUUUUCGUUUCGCAUGCUCUAACAGCAUUGUCUAUGAAAGGUCGUGGGUUCAAUUCCCACAGCGUCCA